UAUCUCAAUCUCCGAUUCUCGAUCUCCACCGCUCUCCACCACCACCAUCUCAAUUGCCACCACGAUUGCAGAAACGCCUCCAUUAGAGCACCAUCUCUACUUCCGUCACUAUUCCUGCGUCACCCCUACUCCAGCAUCAUCACUAGAAGUUGAUCUUCUUUUUCAUCUUAUUUCCUCCUACUGCUAAUGAUUUGAAUAUCAUCUCAAGAUUCAGGCGAUUGAGAGAUGUGAUUUUUCAGUUUCGAUAUGUGGUAAUUUCUAAUUUAAAUAGAGAAACAAAACAAGAAGAAAUCCAGAGGGAUCGAUAAAUCAGUGUUUGGUGGUGGUGUAGUAGCAUGCGAGGUGAUGUUGGUUAGUUGAGAUUUUGUGUAUUGUAGUUGUCACUGGAUUGUUGCAUUUUGAUCAGAUUAAUUUUUGGUUUGCUUGACUGUAAUUGGUGAUGGGAGAGGUGGAAUUGGUGGUGGAUAUGAAGCUGGUGAGUGUAUAAUUAGUGGGAUUAGUAAAGUUAGUGGACUAGAGGAUGGAGGUGGUGUUAGAGGCGGUGCCGGCUUUGGAACUGAAGUUGGAAGAUUUUUGGUGAUUACCGUUGGUGGUGGCGGAAGAGAACUCAUAGAUACUGGUGGAAGCAGAGGAUUAGGUGGUAGAGCAUGAGAUACUUGGUGCUCGUAUUGUUGGAGGCCAAAAGGUGUAGGUGGUAGAAUCCCUGCAUGUAGUAUAGCAGGAGGUCGAGUUGGAUUAUGGUAGUGGUACACGAGUUGGUGAUGGAAGAGGUGCCGAGGUGGUGAAGUUUUGGGCUGGCAGAGGUAAUAGGGAUAAUCACUUGUUAUAUGAUCAUCAUCUUAUGAUACAUAUACACAGACAUCUGUAGCCUGCAAAAAGCAAGUCGUUACUAUAAUUGUAUGUUCUAGUCGCAUGUGGGGAGUUGUAAGUAGGUAGUUCUUAUUGAUUUGUGUUGCAUUUUUAGUUAGCAGCAACAUGGUUUUGAAUUUUAUUUUGCAGGCAUAUUGAUCAACUAAUGUUUCAUUUAAGCUCACUUAUGUAUCGAUUGGCCACUGGAUAUCACUUGACAGUCCAACUAAGCUUGUGAGUUCGUGUUUCAGAACCUGUCCGGCAGUAUGGCGGCGGCGACGACGGUGGUGGUGGCGGCGGAGGACUAGUGGUGGUGGUGGCGGACUAGCGGUGGUGGUGGCGGACUAAUGGUGAUGGAGGCGGCGGUGGUGGUGGUGGCGGACUAGUGGUGGCGGAGGCGGCGGACUAGCUGUGGUGGCGUCGGUGGACUAGUGGUGGUGACAGAGUGGUGGUGGAAUAUUAGUGGUGGUGGCAGUUGGUAGGUGGUGGUCGUUGAACGGUGGUUGUGGAAUGGUAGUUGAAUAUUGGUGGUGGUGGUGCUAGUGGCGGUGGUGAAGUGGUAGAGGAAGAAAUUUGUUUCAUUUUUAAAUAAAGAACAAUAUCAUAUGGGUGAGGGUAUUAAGGUAAUUUAAUAUUAAAUGAAUAAGGUUCUUAAAAAGUAGGGAUAUAUUUAUUGUUGUAUAAGGAUAUAUUUGUUCGGUUUCAAAAGUAAGGACAUAUAAAUAAUGUACCUUUACAAA